CAAAAGGCUCUUUUCAGAGCCAUCCAAUUCAAACGAUCGUUUGCAU
rfam:Helobdella robusta unplaced genomic scaffold HELROscaffold_41, whole genome shotgun sequence.